rnacentral:rRNA from 1 species
UACGGAGGGUGCAAGCGUUAUCCGGAUUCACUGGGUUUAAAGGGUGCGUAGGUGGCUUUGUAAGUCAGUGGUGAAAGCCCGGAGCUCAACUCCGGAACUGCCAUUGAUACUGCUUAGCUUGAAUCAAGUAGAGGUGGAUGGAAUAAUACAUGUAGCGGUGAAAUGCUUAGAUAUGUAUUAGAACACCGAUUGCGAAGGCAGUUCACUAUGCUUGUAUUGACACUGAGGCACGAAAGCGUGGGGAUCAAACAGG